rnacentral:rRNA from 1 species
AACGAACGCUGGCGGCAGGCCUAACACAUGCCAGUCGAACGAAGUCUUCGGACUUAGUGGCGCACGGGUGAGUAACACGUGGGAAUAUACCUUACGCUGGGGGAUAACAUCGGGAAACUGAUGCUAAUACCGCAUACGCCCUUCGGGGGAAAGAUUUAUCGGCGAAAGAUUAGCCCGCGUCCGAUUAGCUAGUUGGUGAGGUAAUGGCUCACCAAGGCUCCGAUCGGUAGCUGGUCUGAGAGGAUGACCAGCCACACUGGGACUGAGACACGGCCCAGACUCCUACGGGAGGCAGCAGUGGGGAAUAUCGGACAAUGGGCGCAAGCCUGAUCCAGCCAUGCCGCGGGAGUGAUGAAGGCCUUAGGGUUGUAAAGCUCUUUCACCCACGACGAUGAGGACGGUAGUGGGAGAAGAAGCCCCGGCGAACUUCGG